ACAGGGGACAACGCCAUCGCAACCACCUAUACAUCGAUAAACCUCUUGUUCACGCCGUAUGACUUCAAUAUUGAAAUGUCCACAUCGUCGUUGGUGGUACUCCUAUCUCCCAGUGCCAUUCUCCAUCACGAAGGACUACCAGCCCGGACCUGCCAUAGCCAAGAAUUUGAUAAUCCGGAAUCACAUUGCCGUCAAGAUGAGAUGAGGAGAAUUUUCAAGAGUAUUUGUGAAAUAUUGACAGAUGGGAAACUUCAAAUUUGCUUGAGGAACACAAUGGCGGUUCUAGCAAGCAGAUGAUCGCAUACACUCAGCAAAAGAAUCUGGAAUAAACAGAAGACAGACACGGAAACCUUCGGUACAGUGAUUUGUUGGGGACCACUGCAGGUUCAGCGAACUCCAAUAAUCCUCCGUGGGGAGUUCAAGCCGCCAUCGCUCUGCGAGAGAACAGAUGUUGGAAGCGCUUGCGGUGCAUCAACAGGAUCCCGGUAACUAGAGGAUAUUGGUACAGUACAAGCAAGCUUCAAAUGCCUAACGAUUGAAUCACGGGUAUGAACCUCAAAGGACGCAACAGGAAGAAGACAUAGAGCAGGUGGCGAUAAUUACCACCAGGCCUGUCAAGGGCAUGCUGCAUAGUUCUCAGACCGUUUCGAGGCGACAUGCUCUUUAAGAGAAGUCUCGCCACAGGCAUACUUCUUAAUGCGGGAAUAUGUGAAACGGUAUUUCCGCUGUCCAUUUUACAAUGCGAAAAGCUGGUGCAUGAGAAGAGCUGUGAACGGCGUGUAGGAGAUCGCAGCAGUAUUCGUCCUUCUGCGGUUGGAAGACUAUCUCCGAAGACGCCGAAAAGAAUGCAUACAUCCAGCAAAUACCUUUUCCAUAUCACGGCCCUAUGCCCUAUCCUACAGCCUAUUCAACAGAACAUGGGAUCGACACCGGCCGAAGGUCAAGAAGACUAAGUCCAGAGUUAAGUAUGUGACGAAAUUCGAUACUAACAUCAACAAAACAUCAUAUUUAGACUAGACACCCUACCAAUUAGAUAUGGAACCCAAAAGAAGAAGAAAGAGAAGCUUCGAAACCCAGCCGAGCUACCCAGAACUCCUUCACCUGAAACCACAGCAAUUAUCACAAUGAGUUUUCAGCAAGAAUGCUUCGUCCUCCAUCAGUAGUGACCCGUUUACGGAUCCUCACGCGGACAUAUCGCAGUCCCAGCUCUCUAACCAUUAAUGCCUUCAACGCAGAUACCCCAUGCAGCUCGGACUCGCCUACUUGUAACGUUCCUUCUUCCGACCCUUCAUCCGAUACGAUGUCCAAUAUCGCGCUGGGGCAAAAUACCAGAGCCUCCCCGGUUUUUAGGGCCACGAUUCUGGAAAAUAAAUUAUCGGAUCCGUAUUUACGCUUGCUAUCAUCGUUGGCUGCGCCAGCCAGAUGGGCACGCAGUGUUGUGAACCAUGCAGGGGAAGUAAACCGGUGAACGAUGGUUACGUUGCACAGGUCUAGUAAAUUCGGUGAGAGCGUUGGUUCCUGGGUUGCAAUAAUGACCCGCGUGGCUAGAUGUCUUUGCUGGCGGAUCAGUGACAGGAGGGUACCGGUUAAAUUACCCCCUUCGCGGCUGUUGGUCGUCAAAAACUAAAGGCAUGUUGAACUGUUGAGAAUCAAGGAGGAAAAGUACAUGGCAAAGCAAAUAGCAGCAAGAACAGUUGGAGGAAAUUGAAAAUUUGUGUCUAACCUUAUGGGCUUCGUCCAAAGCGACGACACGCCCGCCCUCGUUCCGCCGCUCCAUGAAAAUGCUCAAGCAGAUAUUAAAAAGUGAGCACGCAUCAUUUUCGUCCACGAAUGGGCAACUCAAGUCAA
rnacentral:sRNA from 2 species